rnacentral:rRNA from 1 species
ACGCUCGACACCUACGGUAGGCAGCAGUGGGGAAUAUUGCACAAUGGGGGAAACCCUGAUGCAGCGACGCCGCGUGAGCGAAGAAGUAUCUCGGUAUGUAAAGCUCUAUCAGCAGGGAAGAAAAUGACGGUACCUGACUAAGAAGCCCCGGCUAACUACGUGCCAGNGCGCGGUAUAUGAGNGGCGUGNGAG